GCUGACCAGUCCCAAAUAAGACGAAACGCGCGUCC
rnacentral:hammerhead_ribozyme from 1 species